UCUGUGAUGGCCGAGUGGCUAAGGCGUUGGACUUGAAACCCAAUGGGAUCUUCCCCUGCAGGUUCGAACCCUGCUCGCAGCG
rnacentral:tRNA from 1 species